UGGGGAAUAUUGGGCAAUGGGGGAAACCCUGACCCAGCGACGCCGCGUGAGGGAAGAAGGCCUUAGGGUCGUAAACCUCUGUUGUGUGGGAAGAAGAGUGUGACGGUACCACACGAGGAAGUCCCGGCUAACUACGUGCCAGCAGCCGCGGUAAUACGUAGGGGACGAGCGUUGUCCGGAUUUACUGGGCGUAAAGGGCGCGUAGGCGGUCAUUUAAGUCAGCUGUGAAAUGGUUUGGCUUAACCGGACCAUGCGGUUGAAACUGGAUGACUGGAGUGCUGGAGAGGCAAGUGGAAUUCCCAGUGUAGCGGUGAAGUGCGUAGAUAUUGGGAAGAACACCGGUGGCGAAGGCGACUUGCUGGCCAGCAACUGACGCUGAGGCGCGAAAGCCAGGGGAGCAAACGG
rnacentral:rRNA from 1 species